rnacentral:rRNA from 1 species
UGGGGAAUAUUGCACAAUGGGCGGAAGCCUGAUGCAGCGACGCCGCGUGAGGGAUGACGGCCUUCGGGUUGUAAACCUCUUUCAGUAGGGACGAAGCGUAAGUGACGGUACCUGCAGAAGAAGCACCGGCUAACUACGUGCCAGCAGCCGCGGUAAUACGUAGGGUGCGAGCGUUGUCAGGAAUUACUGGGCGUAAAGAGCUCGUAGGCGGUUUGUCACGUCGUCUGUGAAAUCCUAGGGCUUAACCCUGGACGUGCAGGCGAUACGGGCUGACUUGAGUACUACAGGGGAGACUGGAAUUUCUGGUGUAGCGGUGGAAUGCACAGAUAUCAGGAAGAACACCGAUGGCGAAGGCAGGUCUCUGGGUAGUAACUGACGCUGAGGAGCGAAAGCAUGGGUAGCGAACAGG